rnacentral:rRNA from 1 species
GACGAACGCUGGCGGCGUGCUUAACACAUGCAAGUCGAACGGAAAGGCCCUGCUUUUGUGGGGUUCUUGAUUGGCGAACGGGUGAGUAACACGUGAGUAACCUGCCCUUGACAUUGGGAUAACUUCAGGAAACUGGGGCUAAUACCGGAUAGGAGCUUCUGCUGCAUGGGGGGGGUUGGAAAGUUUCGGCGGUUGGGGAUGGAAUCGCGGCUUAUGAGCUUGUUGGGCGGGUAGUGGCGUACCAAGCGUUUGACGGGUAGGCGGCCUGGGAGCGGUACCGGGCACAAUGGGACUGAGGGACGGCGCAGAAUGCUACGGGCGGCAGCAGUGGAGAGUCUUGCACAGUGAGCGGACGCCUGAUGCAGCAGCGCCGCGUGCGGGAUGACGGGCUUCUGGUUGUGAACAGCUUUCGAAUGAGACGAAGAGUGAGUGACGGUAAUGGGUAAGGAAGCACCGGCUAACUACGUG